rnacentral:rRNA from 1 species
AUACGGAGGAUGCGAGCGUUAUCCGGAUUUAUUGGGUUUAAAGGGUGCGUAGGCUGUGCGUUAAGUCAGGGGUGAAAUGCCGUCGCUCAACGACGGAGCUGCCCUUGAUACUGGCGUGCUGGAGUACGGAUGCCGUUGGAGGAAUGAGUGGUGUAGCGGUGAAAUGCUUAGAUAUCACUCAGAACACCGAUUGCGAAGGCAUCUGACGAAUCCGUCACUGAGGCUGAGGCACGAAAGCGUGGGGAUAAAACAGGAUUAGAUACCCUGGUAUUCCACGCCGUAAACGAUGAUGACUAACCGUCGGCGAUAGACAGCCGGUGGCCAAGCGAAAGCGAUAAGUCAUCCACCUGGGGAGUACGUCGGCAACGAUGAAACUUAAAGGAAUUGACGGGG